rnacentral:rRNA from 1 species
GAUGAACGCUAGCGGCAGGCUUAACACAUGCAAGUCGAGGGGUAUAGUUCUUCGGAACUAGAGACCGGCGCACGGGUGCGUAACGCGUAUGCAAUCUACCUUUUGCAGAGGGAUAGCCCAGAGAAAUUUGGAUUAAUACCUCAUAGUAUGUGAGAAUGGCAUCAUUUUCACAUUAAAGUCACAACGGCGAAAGAUGAGCAUGCGUCCCAUUAGCUAGUUGGUAAGGUAACGGCUUACCAAGGCAACGAUGGGUAGGGGUCCUGAGAGGGAGAUCCCCCACACUGGUACUGAGACACGGACCAGACUCCGACGGGAGGCAGCAGUGAGGAAUAUUGGACAAUGGGCGCAAGCCUGAUCCAGCCAUGCCGCGUGCAGGAUGACGGUCCUAUGGAUUGUAAACUGCUUUUGUACAGGAAGAAACACUGGUUCGUGAACCAGCUUGACGGUACUGUAAGAAUAAGGAUCGGCUAACUCCGUGCCAGCCGCCGCCGUAAGAC